rnacentral:lncRNA from 1 species
GGUAUGAGAUACGAACGUCUGCAGACAUGUUCACUAUCCUUUGACAGUUAGACUACUACUAAAAGCUCCAUGGCAGGCGUUUAGUGACAGUACUGCAGGCCCAUGCUUUAUCAAUAAUCCACAUCCGAUCCCUAUUGAGAGACAACUUGAGGUAGGAUAUAUUAGCGAUAUAAAUACACAAAGACUACCGAAUCGUUACUAUCUUAGACACAACAAUAGAGAACUCUUGUUUAACCGAACUUUUGAAUGGAGAGCUUGAAGUCGCCCGGAGGAACACCUUGUGGUCUUCGAAGCCGACAAAGUAGCGAGACGUCUCAUGGUCAGAUCCAACGGUUUUAAUGUCGAAGGGCCAAGACUUCUGGUCUGUGUCCUCGAAGAUCUGCUGAGCAAACGAUGAGCCUGAAGGACCCUCACAAGGCUUCAUAAAGAGGGUGUUGGCCUGCGUGAAAGCCUUACUUGCAGCUUUGUCAUCAGUGCUAGAGGCACCAGCACUGCCAAUCGUCAGGCACUGGCUAGUGUCCUUCGAAAGGUGAACACGGAAGUAAGACUUGGGCAGGUUUGAGUCCGGCUUGCGCAGCUGGCAGCGGGCGAGGUUGUAGCGUUCGUGGUUGUAGGAGAAAUCACUGCCAAUGUCAUCACCAG